ensembl:snRNA
GUGUUGUAUGAAAGGAGAGAAGGCUAGCACUCCCCCACCUCCCACAAGGACGGAGGAGGCCCUCGGGCCUGACAACACGCAUACAGUUAAGGCAUUGCCACCCACUUCGUGGUAUCUAACCAUCGUUUUUA